GGAGAGUUGGCAGAGUGGUAAUGCAGCGGAUUGCUAAUCCGUCAUCGCCUAUAAGCGAUGCACAAGUUCAAAUCUUGUACUCUCCG
rnacentral:tRNA from 2 species